rnacentral:rRNA from 1 species
UGGGGAAUAUUGGACAAUGGGCGAAAGCCUGAUCCAGCCAUGCCGCGUGAGUGAUGAAGGCCCUAGGGUUGUAAAGCUCUUUCGCAGGUGAAGAUAAUGACGGUAACCUGAGAAGAAGCCCCGGCUAACUUCGUGCCAGCAGCCGCGGUAAUACGAAGGGGGCUAGCGUUGUUCGGAAUUACUGGGCGUAAAGCGCACGUAGGCGGAUACUUAAGUUAGGGGUGAAAUCCCAGGGCUCAACCCUGGAACUGCCUUUGAUACUGCAAAUCUCGAGUCCGAUAGAGGUGGGUGGAAUUCCUAGUGUAGAGGUGAAAUUCGUAGAUAUUAGGAAGAACACCGGUGGCGAAGGCGGCCCACUGGAUCGGUACUGACGCUGAGGUGCGAAAGCGUGGGGAGCAAAC